GGAUGCUAAUACCGCAUACGUCCUACGGGAGAAAGCAGGGGAUCUUCGGACCUUGCGCUAAUAGAUGAGCCUAAGUCGGAUUAGCUAGUUGGUGGGGUAAAGGCCUACCAAGGCGACGAUCUGUAGCGGGUCUGAGAGGAUGAUCCGCCACGCUGGGACUGAGACACGGCCCAGACUCCUACGGGAGGCAGCAGUGGGGAAUAUUGGACAAUGGGGGGAACCCUGAUCCAGCCAUGCCGCGUGUGUGAAGAAGGCCUUAUGGUUGUAAAGCACUUUAAGCGAGGAGGAGGCUACUGAGACUAAUACUCUUGGAUAGUGGACGUUACUCGCAGAAUAAGCACCGGCUAACUCUGUGCCAGCAGCCGCGGUAAUACAGAGGGUGCGAGCGUUAAUCGGAUUUACUGGGCGUAAAGCGUGCGUAGGCAGCUUUUUAAGUCGGAUGUGAAAUCCCCGAGCUUAACUUGGGAAUUGCAUUCGAUACUGGGAAGCUAGAGUAUGGGAGAGGAUGGUAGAAUUCCAGGUGUAGCGGUGAAAUGUGUAGAGAUCUGGAG
rnacentral:rRNA from 1 species